rnacentral:rRNA from 1 species
UACGUAGGGCGCAAGCGUUGUCCGGAAUUAUUGGGCGUAAAGAGCUCGUAGGCGGUCUGUCACGUCUGCUGUGAAAACCCGGGGCUUAACCCCGGGCUUGCAGUGGAUACGGGCAGACUAGAGGCAGGUAGGGGAGAAUGGAAUUCCCGGUGUAGCGGUGAAAUGCGCAGAUAUCGGGAGGAACACCGGUGGCGAAGGCGGUUCUCUGGGCCUGACCUGACGCUGAGAAGCGAAAGCGUGGGGAGCGAACAGG